rnacentral:rRNA from 1 species
CAGGAUUAGAUACCCUGGUAGUCCACGCCCUAAACGAUGUCAACUAGGUGUUGGGUGGGUAAAACCAUUUAGUACCGGAGCUAACGCGUGAAGUUGACCGCCUGGGGAGUACGGCCGCAAGGUUAAAACUCAAAGGAAUUGACGGGGACCCGCACAAGCGGUGGAUGAUGUGGAUUAAUUCGAUGCAACGCGAAAAACCUUACCUACCCUUGACAUGUCCAGAAGCCCGAAGAGAUUUGGGUGUGCCCGAAAGGGAGCUGGAACACAGGUGCUGCAUGGCUGUCGUCAGCUCGUGUCGUGAGAUGUUGGGUUAAGUCCCGCAACGAGCGCAACCCUUGUCGUUAAUUGCCAUCAUUUAGUUGGGCACUUUAACGAGACUGCCGGUGACAAACCGGAGGAAGGUGGGGAUGACGUCAAGUCCUCAUGGCCCUUAUGGGUAGGGCUUCACACGUCAUACAAUGGUCGGUACAGAGGGUUGCCAAGCCGCGAGGUGGAGCCAAUCCCAGAAAGCCGAUCGUAGUCCGGAUUGCAGGCUGCAACUCGCCUGCAUGAAGUCGGAAUCGCUAGUAAUCGCGGAUCAGCAUGUCGCGGUGAAUACGUUCCCGGGUCUUGUACACACCGCCCGUCACACCAUGGGAGCGGGUUCCGCCAGAAGUAGGUAGCCUAACCGCAAGGGGGGCGCUUACCACGGCGGGGUUCGUGACUGGGGUGAAGUCGUAACAAGGUAACC